CAGUAGCCGCGGGAAUACGAAGGGUGCAAGCGUUACUCGGAAUUACUGGGCGUAAAGGGCGCGUAGGCGGUUUUCCAAGUUAGAUGUGAAAUUCCUGGGCUCAACCUGGGGGCUGCAUUUGAUACUGGGAGGCUUGAGUAUGGAAGAGGGUCGUGGAAUUCCCAGUGUAGAGGUGAAAUUCGUAGAUAUUGGGAAGAACACCGGUGGCGAAGGCGGCGACCUGGUCCAUAACUGACGCUGAGGCGCGAAAGCGUGGGGAGCAAACAGGAUUAGAUACCCGGUAGUCCCUGUCUCUUAUACC
rnacentral:rRNA from 1 species